rnacentral:tRNA from 1 species
ACCUAUGGGAUAGCUCAGUCGGUAGAAAAUGAGACUCUUAAUCUCAGGGUCGUGGGUUUGAGUCCCAUGUUGGGCA